AUUGAACGCUGGCGGCAUGCCUUACACAUGCAAGUCGAACGGCAGCGCGGGAGCAAUCCUGGCGGCGAGUGGCGAACGGGUGAGUAAUAUAUCGGAACGUGCCCAGUAGUGGGGGAUAGCCCGGCGAAAGCCGGAUUAAUACCGCAUGAGACCUGAGGGUGAAAGCGGGGGAUCGCAAGACCUCGCGCUAUUGGAGCGGCCGAUAUCAGAUUAGCUAGUUGGUGGGGUAAAGGCCUACCAAGGUAACGAUCUGUAGUUGGUCUGAGAGGACGACCAGCCACACUGGGACUGAGACACGGCCCAGACUCCUACGGGAGGCAGCAGUGGGGAAUUUUGGACAAUGGGCGCAAGCCUGAUCCAGCAAUGCCGCGUGCAGGAAGAAGGCC
rnacentral:rRNA from 1 species